rnacentral:rRNA from 1 species
AUGGGACCCCCCACCUUGCCCUUCAACCCCUCCACCCCGCUGGGCCCCGGGUUCCCUGACUCGGCCAUCCUCUGCAAGGUGGCGCGUGUGUCGGCGGACCGGAACGCGACCACCGCCGAGUGCCGCACCGAGGACGGCCAAGCCGUGGACGCGUCCUUCUGGCUCGUCGACCCGCCGGGCAUCUCCUACUUCUCCGUCAACUGCCCCGGCAUGAAGCACCAGUACCACGCCUGGCUCAUCUGCGCCGAGGACGCCUUCGUCCUCUUCAGCCUCAAGUUCUGGGGCCCCGCCCGCUUCUUCGUCUACACGGCCGGGAAGCAGUCCCUGCGGCUGCUCCCAAACCCCAACCAUGCCUACUUCGGCGGGCAGCAGUUCGGCCUCUUGCCCCGUGGCGACGCCGACGGCGAGCACUAUGCCGUGGCCUUCCUCGACGUCAAGUGGACUAUCCGAGACGAUUUUUGUCGGUUUGAUGCCUAUGUCUUCUCGUCUGAAACACAGGCAUGGACGACCAGGAAGGCCUGCCUAUCAGACCCUGCUGACAAGCCAUCGUGUUGUCGACAUGCCUUGUUCAAGCAGAUCAGGGUUGGAGCAAGUGCGCUGGGCUGGGUUGAUACCUGCCAUGGCAUUCUCCUUCUGGACGACCUGUUUGGCAGGCAUCCUGUCAUCAGAAUAAUCCCAUUGCCCGUGACAACCGUUGGCUUGCCCGAGCCAACCAAACCGGAGGACAAUUACUGUGCCCCUGAGUAUUUUUACAAUGUUUCCUGCUGCGACGAUCUCAUCAAAUUCGUCCACAUCAAAUACGAUGACCCUGAUGCUAUGAGCAGAGGUUCAGGUUGGAAAGCCACAAUGUGGAAUAUGAAGGUCUCUGAGGGAAAUUGGUGCGAGCGCUACACGGUUGAUGUUGCCAAAAUCUCGGUUGACAAAAGCUUUUCUGCUAAAUUGCCUCAGAUGUGGGAUGAUGAGACUCAACAACAGCAGUUGAAGAACCUGAUGUUCCAAGGCCCAAUUCUGAGCAUGCUCAAUGACGAUUUGCUUUACAUGAUGGCCAAGGUGAAUGAUGAAGACGACACAGCCUGGGCUAUCACUAUUGACAUGAAACAUGCAGCUCUCAAGGCACUGGCAAAGUUUUCUGUCAAACCGAACCAACAACUCCUCACUACACUCUGCUUCUCAUGCGUCCUCCCCAAGUACCUCAACAUUCCCCCAGGGACAGAAAUGUAUGAUCCCAUGGAAAUGCACUUUAAGAGGAUGAGUUUGGCGCAGUUUGUUAUGCAAGUGCAGCAGACUCGAGAAUGGUUCAGGGAACUUGAUCUAUUCAUAGAUUGUGACUUGCCAACUUAUAAGGAAUCCAAACCACUGCUUACCGAGUGUUGCCCAGUAUCCUCUUUGUGUGUACAUAUUCAUGCGCUACUGAAAUAUGCUACAUGCACCGAUGAAGCCUCCAAUAAUAUGCAACAUCUCUUACGAGCAUUUGAGGGUUUUGACAUGCUGCUAACGGAGUCAUUUAAUGAGCAAGCAAGUGAUGAGACCCUGAGGAGAAAAAUCAUUGUGGCCCUUCCAAUUUUAGACAAUCUUUUGCAAAGUAUGCUACCAACAAUGACUCCUGAAGAAAGAUACAGAGUAGGAAUAUUUGAACAGUAUGAGAAGUCAGGCUAUACGAAGAAGGACCACCAGUCGUUUGGCUCUAAUGCUGAGAAGGUUCGCCACAGCAAGAAGCGAAGCCAUGCUAAGAAAAGGACUCACAAGCAACAGCAACAUAUUUUCAAGCGCAAUAACUUUGGGCGGGAUGUGGCUUUGAACCGCUGGCGGUACUUGGGCGGCUGCAUGCUGAUGUCUGUUGGUAUGUUGUCACUUUGCUGGAUGGUAUGGAAGAUCUUGCGGGAAAUGAUCUUGCAGGAGAUGCUAGCUUAG